ensembl:snoRNA
AUACCAUCUAGUGAGUCGGCUUGCCUUAAUGUAUAUAUGCAGAAAUUUAAAUAAAGCUGGCAAUACUAAUGCCAUGAUACAAGCCUUAAGGGCAAUCAAAAUCACUAAGGUCCCUGAGAAUAGCUACUCCA